UGUAGCGGUGGAAAGAGAAUCAAAAGUUCUAGAGAAAAAUUUCAGAAAUUUUUCUUAUACUUCGGAUUGACCUUCUGGCUGCAAGGAACCCACUUUUUGGCAAGAUGGAGAAGUCAGGCAAAGCUGCUUAUAGGUGCAGUUGAACCUUUUGAUCAAGAUAUUUGUAAGCCUUGUGGUAAAUAACGAAGGGCUUUGGACAUUGACCAAGAAUAAAAUAUGGAAUAGAAUCAUGGAUAUCUUUGUGGUGAAAAUGACCUCAGAUAACCUUACAAAGAACGAGAAGCAAGCGUAAAGAAAUGAAACAGCUUUGCCAAGAAGACGCCAGGUGAAUCUAUUGGCUGUCCUGCUUCUCUGUCCAGUUAGCCCUCAAGGAAUGACCUGCUCAUACUCCCACCUGCAUAGAGACUUGCCCUGAUGGAUCAAAGCCCAGCGUUUCACCAGAAAUUACUCUUACGCAAGGCAAGGGAGCAGCCCCCAUCCGAUGACUAGAGUUCAGGAGAAGAUACAAUUUGGGCCCCCCUGAAGAACCAUGUUGAGUCCAGAGCUCCCUAUGGGAUUGGCCGAAUCCUGUGUAACAGCUGUAUCACAGACUUCUGUGUUUGCCCAGUAUGCCUCUCCCUUGCCUUUCAUAGAUGUGGUCCUAAGGGGACUUCUCUAUAAACUGCCUGCACUUCACAUCAUCUCAGAGAGUGUUUACUAGGGAACCCAAAAUAAGACAAUGGAGACGUUGGAACGGAGUGCCAUUCUGGCAGUGGUCAAGGGCAGGAUGCCACUGCUGGGAACAUCGUCUUCCUCAAUCUCAGCCACCCUUCAAAGGGAGUCUUCAGCUGAAAGUUAAUAGACAUGCACUGGUUUCCUGCUUGGGGUCACUGUUUAUUCCUGUCAUUGUAUAGAUUAGGAAAUCAAGCCCAAUACAAAAGAGACUUGACCCAUGCUGUUUAGCUAGUCGGCAGAGCAGCAAAAACAAGCUUACAGUUCCCAGCUUCUGCUACUGGGGCUAUUUUUGAAGAGCCAUCUUGGAAUUUGUUCAGCGUUGUUCAGCUGCUGUAACUCAGAACUGACUGCAGGUGGGUCUAGAGACCAUUUAUCUGUCUGACCCAUUUGUUCAGCUCUGGCACUGAAAUUGGACAUCGCAGUCAUUCCUGUGUGGUCCUCUUGCUGCUUGUCUACUAGUCUUUGAAGGGUGAUCUCUGAAGCUCACUGUCGUUGGUAGUAGAAUAGCGAAGAAGACAUAGUGAAGUAGAAACAGAUGGUCAGUUGCUGUCGCCUAAAAUCAGCAUUUCGUGUUAUUGGCUAUUAAGAGAAUUGGGAAAUUGACAGUGCUUGUUGCACGAUAAACCAGUGGCUAGUACAGAGUCGUUAGGUAGAUGAAACAUGCAGGAGUGUGUUGAAAGAGCCAUAAGCAAAAUGAAAAAUGACUACAAAUUAAUACGUAGUCUCAUGAUCAUCCUAAAUAGUUUAUUACUCAUUUUAUUAUGCCCAAAUAAGGUUCCACGGAGAUUAUCAGACUAUUGUAAGCCCACAGUCACUGUGAUCCUGAGAAAUUUGGAAGUAAUUGAAAAACAAAUUAUUAUUAUCACUACUACAGGAUCCAGAUUUUAUAUAAUUUCAUUGGCAUCAUUAACCAGCUACUCUUUUAGGAAACGUUCUUCGACUCCCAUUGUCUGUGAAUUAAGUCAAAGUCUAUUUUAUUUGGUCCUCAGAACCUGACGUACACCGUCGCCAGAUCCGCCCUCCAGCUUUCUGUCAGGCCGCUUUCUAGGUACACCCCAUACCCUGGCCAAACCGGGGACCUUAGUGUUCCCCAAGUGUACCUUUCGUUGUCCUAGAUUUGUGUCUUUUUCCUUGCUGUUUUUUUUUUUUCCCUUUACAAUAUUCUUUCCAUGUGUUUACCCAUCGAAUCUGGCUUAUUUCAGUGCUAACUUUUUAAAAUGACAUUUUCUGUAAUUUCUCAUAUACCUUCAUUUAUAAUGCUUAACCCCUUACUUUGAGGAAAUAUGUCAGGUUUGCUCUUUCUUCCCUGUGAACCUUCGUGGCAUAUUAUUUGUAUGGAAUUUUUCUGUCCUACUUUUUGUUUUACUACUUGUAUCUCUCUAAUCUGAUAAGUAUUCAUCGGUUUUUAUGUAGCAGAAGCUGCUGUAUAGUGGGGGGGUCAAAAAUAUAAGAAAUUGUUCUUGACUUCAGAGGUCUACAGUCUGCUGAAUGGAAUAUAAUGAAGUACUAGAGAAGCCGUGCGUAGCAAACUAGAGCAUGUGAUGGGAGAUACCAACCUGGCUAUGGCGAGCUUUAGCUAGGGAUGUUCUCAAGGGUUUCUUAUCCGAGAUGACCUUGAACUGAGUCUGGAAAGACGAGUAAGGGCUUGAUGGUUGUGGCUGAGAAGGAGGCAGUCAGAACAAUAAAGUCAGACAAGGAGGCAGGAAUUAGUGGGUAAGGUGCAAAGAAAGAGGAUGAUCUGAGUUGAGCCUCACACCUGAAGAGGUAGGCAGCUUCACAUGGCCACGAAGGCAGUGGGGAGGCAGGUGGAUGGCAGGAGAGAGCCAGCGGCCCGUCUUUGGCAGAGGCUGCCUUAGACGGAUAUAGGGAGAUCCCUGAAGAGGCACAUGGGUGACUUUUUCUGCUCCUUGUGCUUACUUCCAUGUGACAGGAGUGUCAUUAAUAUCACUCCCGUCCUGGAGUACUUCCCUGGUUGGUAAAUUUGGAAGAAAUCAAGUCGACAUCUCAGUUCCACUGUUUUCCUCUUGGAUGAGAGCUGCCCUCCGGGAGAACUCUUCUGCCCACACAUAGACCAGCUCUGGUCUCAUGCUGCCAACGCUUGGAUUCAGUAUUAGCCACUCGGAUGUAGCCCUAAAACCGCAACUUCUGAACUAGAGUUCUUAGAAAUAAAGAUGCCAUUUUUCUUUCCAUCUGCAGCGUCUGUAACAGAAUUGUUUCUCAACUUGAUUUGAACCUGGGUGGGAGAAGGGGAUGCUAUUCACUGAGCCCCACUGAGAGCCUGCCUACCGGUAGCGUGUGGUGGGAGCAGGGUGAGGGCGUGGUUUUCACCGAUGGAAACAAGGUCGAAGGACUUGGCCGAAGGGGAUGAGCGAGAUGGAAGAUUCUAGAAAGACUCUGCCUUCUGGCUUGGGAGGUUAGGGGCCGUAUUAACUCACACACCUUAACUUUCUGAUGGAGCCACGUUUCCAUCGAGUCGCUUCUCAAGGCCAGGACUUUGGUUUGGCUUCUCAUCUCUCCUUUAGUCAUCACCACCCAGGAUCUGAGAGAAUUUUUCAGGGACGGCUACACUUGGGCAUUUGUUCAUCCGCAUUGUUCAUUCUUUGGCUAAUUCAUUUAGCCAGCAGAGAUAUUCAUGAAUCUUCUAUGUGUCAGCACCCUGUUUGGCCUGCCCAAGAGAUACCGUGAUGAACAAAACGUUAGCUCGUCCUCUAGGAAUUCUGAGUCUGGUGAGGGAGCCACCACAGGGGUGGGCGGGGAGAGGGGCGAGGGCUACCGGUUAAGCAGCUUUGGGACCAAACAGCCCGAGUUAAAAUGUGGGCCCUAUUACUUGCAAGGUGGACAGUCUCAAUAGAGGUUCAGUUUUAGCUAAGCCAGUAUUUACCUCAAAUGCUACUUUCGCACGACUUCUAGAUUCUCCUGAUUGGAUCCUGGAGCGUGGUGAACUGGCUAUGAAUAAAUUUUGCCAGAAGCUUAGAACAUUGUUUUUGGAAUUCAUUUUUAAAACAUAAAAUCCCUGUCUAUAGCGAGAAGUUGUCAUACGAGCAGCCUAAGUUAUGCUCCGUUUCUCUCUCUUUUGGACAAUCCCUUCAGAUCAGCACUUGGAGGGAAGUUAGAAUGUGGUUUAUUUUUUGUGAAGUUUUCAUUUUUGAGUCCUGCUCGCAUGAAAGAUCUGAAAAAGAGUCUGAGCUAUGUUUUUAUUAUGGCAAAUAUGGACCUUCCUAGGAAGCAGAGAGAUGAGGCGUUUGUGUGAUUUGCAGACAAACCUGGUGUCAUAGGGAGUAACACUCUGAUUCGUGGUGUUCCAUGCCAUUUCAUACAACAGCGGACUUUUUUUUAAUGGCUCUAAGAUUGGUGGAGACAAUUCCUUUGUUUUAAGAGUCCCCGAUUUAAUGCGAAAUACUAUUCAUACCCAGAAGUGGCAUGUGUGUCUGUGUGCAAUGUGUACGUGUAUGUGUCCUUUAUUGUUCCUGUAUCGGUAGUCACAAGAUCCAGUUGGAUGCUAUGUGCCGGAUCCUGGCACAUUAAUUUGCUGUGAUUUGAGUUUGUCCCCUGAUGUACAACACUACAGAAAUUGAAGAAGACAGCUGAAUUGGACGGAAGGUGAUACCCAAGUAGUGACAGGGUUUCCAAAAGGAUAAUAUUUGCUAUAGUUAAAAUGACCAUUGUUCAAGAACAGAAACGCUCCAGUUUUGUCCUAUUAGUUUGUAUUUUUUUUCUGUAACUGGAAAUACGUCUAGUAUCCUUCUAUAAAGAACUUAAGAAAUACAAUUAAAAUGAAAUAUUAUUAAUUUCUUGAAUACUAUGGCAUCUGUCCUACAAGGGGAUGUGAUAUAUUCUCUUUUAUGUCAGACAACCCUAAGUUUUAAAGCUGGGUGGGACUCGAGAGAUGACUUGGUCCUGUGCCCUCCUUUUUGGGAAGCGAAGUACCGAAUGCUAGAGAGACUUGUGUAAAAAAGUCCCACACUGUGUGCAGCAGCGAGCAUAGUAGCUCAGAGCACAGACCUGCAUGCCAGACUUUCGGGGUUUCGAACUGGCUCUGCCAUUCGCUAGUUGUGUGAUCGUGUGCAGGUUACUUAACCUCUCUGUGCCUCAGUUUCUGCCUCUGGAAAACGGAGUCAAUAACAGUUUUCCCACGAAGAGUUGUUGAGAGAUGGGUCGAGUUAGUGGAUGUGAAAUUACCGUGGCCUGUAACAAACACUAUGCAUCAGUCUUACAUAACCUGCAUUUCAUUAAAUCUAAUAGAUUGAUUGAUGCUGCUGCUUUCUUGAUGUCAGAAUGCGCAGCUGGAGGUUUUCACAGAAUUAUAGUACGAUUUGCCACAGCAGUUUUAAGAUAAUAUUGAUGGUAAUACGAUGUCAGUCGGGCGGUGAUGGUGGCGGGAUGGUGGAGUUUAGACUCAAUUAAAUAGGACGCUAUUAUUAUUGUUAUCAUUAUUCUUACUCAGCUGACCUAAGACAGAGUUAGAUUUAGAAGCUACAUCUCCUAGUUCAGUCCUUAGUCCAUUAUUCUGCUCCUCUGUGGAGGUUAUCAUUCGACUUAAAACUAUUGUGACACUUGCGUUUUAUGGUUCCAGGUCCUACAAGACAACUAAGUGCAAUGUGCCUUGUUAGGAAAAAGAACAUAAAGAAAUGUCCAAAUUCCUGUGAAAGAACAUGUCUCCUCACUCUGCCUGUGCUCGCAGGCUAGAGGAUGAUAGAGCUGCAAAUAUUUUCUUCCAUUUGUUAUUGCUUUAUUUUUAAAAAAAUUAAAUGAAAUUUAUUGGGGUACCAUUGGUUAGUAAAAAUUCUAUAGGUUUCAAGGGUACACUUCAGGAAUACGUCAUAUAUAUAUUGCAUUGUGUGUUCACCACCAAAGUUGGAUUGGUGAAAUAUUUAAGCCAUGAUGAAUUUCUUUGUACUGAGCAAAGAUUCGGAUUUUUCUGAAGCUUUUAAUAGUAAAUAAAAAUUACUGUUUUCGUUGUUGUUAAAAUUCAUCCAACAAUGGAGGCUGGAAUGUCCACUCGUUACGAUUACUAAUAAACUCACUCUGGGGCAAAACCAUGUCAAUUGUGUAUGUGUCUAUGUAAAUGUCCCACGAGAGUGCUGAAAUGAGGGCUUUUGUGAAUAUAUUUAAAGCUUUGGGCCAGACUUCUCUGUCUGAUUGGCUCCUUCAUUCCUAUGUUAUUAUUCGUCCCGCUCUGGUUGAUCAGUGCUUCCUCCCCCCUUCCCCUUGCCCCUCCCUCUUCCCCAUCCACGCUCCCCCCUUUCUCUCUGGCCGUUCCCCUCUUCCAUCCCCUUCUCGCCCUAGCGCCCACCCUUCAUUUCUGUCUCUCUCCAAACUUUACAUUUGACUGUUGUCUCCGGGCAGACUGCCCAGUUUGCUUUAUUUGUUUCUCAUAAUUGUAUU